UGAAUACGAAAUGCUACGGCAUUGAAGUGAUCUAUGCCAUGCUUCCAAGAAAAUCUCGUCAUAUCUUAAACAAUAGAUGCCUGUACCUUAAACCGACACAGGUAGGUAGGUAGAGUAUACCAAGGGGCGCGAGAUAACUCUCUCUAAGGAACUCGGCAAAAUAACCUCGUAACUUCGGAAGAAGAGGUACCCUUGAAAAAGGGUUGCAAUAACCAGACCCUGGCGACUGUUUACCAAAAACACAGGUCUCCGCUAAUUCGUAAGAUCAAGUAUGGAGGCUGACGCCUGCCCAGUGCCGGAAGGUUAAAGAAGUUGGUCAAUCUUUGGAUGAAGCUGGCGACUGAAGCCCCGGUGAACGGCGGCCGUAUCUAUAACGGUCCUAAGGUAGCGAAAUUCCUUGUCGGGUAAGUUCCGACCCGCACGAAAGGCGUAACGAUCAGGGUGCUGUCUCGGAGAGAGACUCGGCGAAAUAGACAUGUCUGUGAAGAUGCGGACUACCUGCACCUGGACAGAAAGACCCUAUGAAGCUUUACUGUAUCUUGGAAUUGGGUUUGGGCCUUGCUUGCGCAGGAUAGGUGGGAGGCUAUGAAAAUAUUCUUGCGGGAAUGUUGGAGCCAACGGUGAGAUACCACUCUAGUAAGGCUAAAAUUCUAACUCUGAACCGUUAUCCGGUCAGAGAACAGUUUCAGGUGGGCAGUUUGACUGGGGCGGUCGCCUCCUAAAGGGUAACGGAGGCGCGCAAAGGUUCCCUCAGGCUGGUUGGACAUCAGUCGUAGAGUGUAAAGGCAUAAGGGAGCUUGACUGCGAGACCCACAAGUCGAGCAGAGACGAAAGUCGGCCUUAGUGAUCCGACGGUUCCACGUGGAAGGGCCGUCGCUCAACGGAUAAAAGUUACUCUAGGGAUAACAGGCUGAUCUCCCCCAAGAGUUCACAUCGACGGGGAGGUUUGGCACCUCGAUGUCGGCUCAUCGCAUCCUGGGGCGGUAGUACGUCCCAAGGGUUGGGCUGUUCGCCCAUGAAAGCGGUACGCGAGCUGGGUUCAGAACGUCGUGAGACAGUUCGGUCCAUAUCCGGUGCAGGCGUUAGAGCAUUGAAAGGAGUCCCCCUUAGUACGAGAGGACCGGGGGGAAUACACCGCUGGUGUACCAGUUAUCGUGCCAACGGUAAACGCUGGGUAGCCAUGUGUAGCGUGGAUAACUGCUGAAAGCAUCUAAGUAGGAAGCCCACCUUAAGAUGAGUGCUCUCACCGCUAUAAGCGGGUAAGGUCACGGUAAGAACAACCGUUAUAUAGGCAUUAAGUAUACGUGCAGUAAUGCAUUUAGCUAAGAUGUACUAACAGACCGAGGGCUUGAU
rnacentral:rRNA from 1 species